CUUUAUUGUUCCAAAGCCAACUAGACAAAGAAGAGCAUUCUCCUUUCUUUGGCUGACUAAUCUCUGGGUACUUUCUUCUCAGCCUCUGGCUACAGCUCAAACUCACAUUGUUAAUUUCUCAUUGCAUCGAAUAUCAAGCAAAGGCAGAAAUCAGAUUUGAUUGAAAUCUAUGUUUUAUUAGCUUCAUUUUGGUUUCUUCCCACUGAGAAAAUGAGUACACUGAUACCAACAGUUUACAGAUACCUAGGGAGGCCUUGGUGUUGUCCAGAAGGUUAUACAAACUUGAGGAGUAAAAAAGGGAAGGCCAGUAUAAAAACUCCUAUCAUUAGAGAAUUUGCAAUAUUCUGAAAGCAGAAUUUUACUCACAAGCAAAUGCUUCUAGUCCAACAGCAUAAAUCAUCACUAAUAAGUGAUGAGUACAAUCCAUCUCUUUGGGUAAAGCUGGAUUCUAUAGGCUUAGCAUCAGAGGAGACUUGUAAUGACCGUGCAGGUCCACCCUGGUGGCCUCACAGUUCUCGAUAGUGUCAGGACAUUCACACUCUCUAAGGCAGUCAUUGGGAGCAAGAUAAGCCUGACACCUAGAGAGUAUCCUGCUGCUCUUACUAUGAAAGGAAGCUUUGUGAGUGGAUUCUGUCGCUGGAAACCCACGUGGAAGUCUUUGAAGGACACAGAUAUGUUCACGAGUAAUCUAGGAGAAUUAUGGGGACCACUGGAAUGCUUACUACAUAUCAGGCAGUCCACUGACCAUCCUCCUGGCAGGAUCUCAGCGAAUCCCCGCAGCAUCCCAGGAAGUAAAGUGAGUAGUUUGUUUGUUUGUUUGUUUGUUUGUUUGUUUUGUUUUGUUUUUUAA
rnacentral:lncRNA from 12 species